rnacentral:rRNA from 1 species
AUGAACGCUGGCGGCGUGCCUCAUACAUGCAAGUCGAGCGAACAGACGAGGAGCUUGCUCCUCUGACGUUAGCGGCGGACGGGUGAGUAACCCGUGGAUAACCUACCUAUAAGACUGGGAUAACUUCGGGAAACCGGAGCUAAUACCGGAUAAUAUAUUGAACCGCAUGGUUCAAUAGUGAAAGACGGUUUUGCUGUCACUUAUAGAUGGAUCCGCGCCGCAUUAGCUAGUUGGUAAGGUAACGGCUUACCAAGGCAACGAUGCGUAGCCGACCUGAGAGGGUGAUCGGCCACACUGGAACUGAGACACGGUCCAGACUCCUACGGGAGGCAGCAGUAGGGAAUCUUCCGCAAUGGGCGAAAGCCUGACGGAGCAACGCCGCGUGAGUGAUGAAGGUCUUCGGAGCGUAAAACUCUGUUAUUAGGGAAGAACAAAUGUGUAAGUAACUAUGCACGUCUUGACGGUACCUAAUCAGAAAGCCACGGCUAACUACGUG